GGGUCCGUAGGCCAACGGCAGACUGGCUGCCUCCAGAGCAGCAUAUGGGGGUUCAAUUCCCUCCGGGCCCA
rnacentral:tRNA from 1 species